AAUCGUAAUUUUUUCGAUCGUUCGAAUCCCACUGACUGCACGAUAAUUUCGAAAGAUUGGUCGGACUUCGCUAAAAUCGGUCGUUCGGCAAGAGAAAUCUUUGCGUCAAUGGGGACCUUAAGCAGUUCUAUGGCAUUUAAGACAGAUGCAUAUCAACAGCUUAUCUAAUUGUCUGAAAGUUUCAACUGGCCCUUUAUAAGUCUAAGUAGGGACAUAAAAAUCCAGUUGGUAUUUCUAUACAAUUGAUUAUAAUGCUUGUAUUUGUAUUUGCUUGUAAAAAUUGUAUUUGCUUCUGAAUCACUUGAAUAAAAAUAAACCAGUUUUAGGAGUGGAUGUUGCCAUAUGGGAUCGCAAGGGACUCAAGCUCAUAUUGCAUAACAAUUAAAAAUGCAUCUUAAAUGUAUGAGCAAGGUUUACAUUCACUUUAUCUUUAUGUCUAUGCUUAGUGAGUGACAUGGGAUAUUCUGUACAGGAAACUCUACACCUGUUCACAACUGACAAAAUAUAACUAAAUGUUAAAGAAAACAUUUAGUUGCAGAUAAUACAGCAACAUGUAUUAAGUGAUUUGUCAUUUCGGUGAUACUAGCCCUUUAAAAACCUAGUAACAGUGUAACAUAAGGAAAACACAGAAAACAUCUGCGGCAGCACCUUUUAUGUGAACUAAUCAAUCCAUUUUAUUUUUGCUUGUUCAAUGCACUGAUAGAGAGAGAGAGAGAGAGAGAGAGAGAGAGAGAGAGAGAGAGAGAGAGAGAGAGAGAGAGGUUUCCGGCACUUCAUUCAAUGAAGGUGAAAUUUAUUUUUCAAAAACAUGAAAGAAUAUAGAAGAGCUUUAAGCUGUUAGAAUGAAAAUAUUUCCCAUUUGGCAUUUUGUCACCAUAGAAACAGUGAAAAACAAGUACUAUGUUUUUUUCUCCUCUGCUCCUGAAUUUAACAGCAAUUGGGACACUGGAGUAAGAACUCACUGCGGAGGCCAUCACAGAUAUUUAUCUUCAGUCCUCCUACAUUAUGGAUAGACAUCCAGGCUCACCUUCAUAACGAUCAAUAUUGUAAGGAUGAUCGUAUAAUUUUUUGUGGCCUGUAAAAUCCAAUUUCUGCAUUAUAUUUUCUUGAUUAUUUAAAGGGGUUGUUCACCUUUAAAAAAACUUUUAGUAUGAUGUAGAGAGUGAUGUUCUGAGACAUCUUAAACAAUCUGGUAACUAGGGUCCAAAUUACCUUAGCAACCAUGCAUUGAUUUGACUGGAAUAUGAAUAGGAGAGGGCCGGAAUAGAAGGAUCAGUAAUAAAAAGCAACGAUAACGGGGGGCGUGACCGGAUGUCGUUAUGAACAGACAUAGGAGUCAGCAGCUCCCGUCUUCGACCAGCAUUUAAUUAGCUUUUUUUUGCAUAAAGACUGGUAAACCGCUUAUAAUGGGCAAGGAUGCCAAGAAGAAACCUUACCCUCCCAAGCAGACGUCCCUGGUAAAGGUAAAACUCCCUUCAGUGUCGUCUUUAUUUGAGAAGCCGGAGGGGCCUAGUUCGCAACGCUCCAAGAUGUGCUCCAAGAUGCACCACAUCGUAGCCCAAGCCCGACUGACUCCACGAGUAGCUCUACACAGCGCUUCCAGCAGCAUGACAUUCGUGAGCUCCUCACAGCCUUACCGACUAAGUUGGAUCUGUUAGAAAUGGCUAAAAAUAUUAAAGCUGUGCAACUGAUCGAAUUGGCUGUGAUUAAAGACGAAUUGAAAGACAUUGGCGCGAAAAUGGAAGAGAUCAAUUUGCAGCUCCAGACCCACACGCAAGGGAUUAAUAAAGCUACAAAAUGGGUAAAUUCACACCACAAAUAUAUAUAUUUAUUGAGGCGGCACAUGGAGGACAUGGAUAACAGGGGGCGCCGAAACAACCAUCCCUGAGUCCAUUAAACAGCUUGAUCUAGAGCAGGCACUAUGUGAGAUUUUUAACCCACUGCUUGACAAACCGCCCCACACAGCGAUUGAUUUUGAUCGUGCACACAGAGCAAUGCUUCACUUAGAGGGGAACAGCCAAGAGACGUCAUUUGCCACAAACUGAAGGAGGAAAUCCUCAAGAAGACUAGAGCUGAGGUGCAAAUUUCGUAUGAGGGGCAUAAAAUAGAAAUUUAUCAGGACCUCUUACAGACGAAGAAUGGGAGCUCAUAGUGACAAAGUCGUAUACGUCUACUAGAUGUUCCAGACUGUUGGAAAAUAAUUACAAGAUGCUCUCCCGUUGGUACAGAGUACCAAUCAUUUUAUCUAAGAUUUUUCCCAAUGUCCCUCAAAAAUGUACCUUAAAGCCAAUGCACUUUUGAGUUAUCCCAACCUUGGAUUGCACCAGUCAGGGGUGUCCUGCACAAACUGGCAACAUUUGGAGUUAUGUAAGUUUUCAAGUGAGUUGCAUGGUACAUGGCUGCCUAGGAAGCAGUGCAAUCCACAGUGUGCAUUUGUUGCAAUGUGUUCCAAAUGUGACCAAAGUGGUAACUCUGUACUCCAUUGAACAAUGUGUUCUUUGCUAUACAUAAUAGCCUUAGAACAUAUUAUAUAUCCUGUUUUCACAAGUAUAGCUUGACAGCAUAUUAUAGGCCAUCAUACAGUGUCUAUCCUGAGUUUUUCAGACCUGUUAUAAUGCUUCACCAACAGAUACUGCUUUCUGUAUAUUCUAACAGCAACACAGGUGGCUAAGUACAGUAAUAGUAAGUCUGACAGAUCCACCUCCAUUGCUGUUUGCAUAGUCACAUAAUAUUUUUUUUUUUGCAUAUUUCUUGUACUUUUACUUUAGACUUGGUUUCCAUACUGCCAGCAUUGUAACUGGUUCUUUGUGUUGCAGAAAAGAACAGGCGGAUUAUCCGUUUCUGGGGGGGGGGGGGAAAUAACAUUUUUGUUUUUCAAACAACAGUUGUAUUCUAUUCAAAUCCAAAUGAGACAGGAUUAUCUUGGUGUUUGCUCACUUGGUCCACAAAUUCCUUUUUAUUACUAAUUACCAUUCCCCUUUAACAUCCAGAUGAAAAAAAGUAGCUAUGAAAUCAUUUACAGUUGGCUGCAUGGAGAAACACCGGCUGCACUAACUGAACUGAAGUUUUCUAUGCUGUCUUCGACUCUCGGAUAUGAAGUUGAUCAUUGAAUCAUUAUUCCUUUAAACUUUCUACCACUGACUGACUUUUAAAUGCAAAACAUAAAGCCAUUUUAAUGAAAAACUCAUACAGGGUGAUGGCAGAGAUAUUGCACAGCACAGAGUACGAGGAGAGAUGUGUCCUGCAAAUGCUUUCUUUUGUUAUUCAUGAAUUUCUGGAAGAGGGUGGGGGAGUUUGGAUAUUGUUUUUGUGUUGGGGUGGUAUAAAGGCCAUAUGGACAAAAACAAGACUUUAUAAGUUUGGCCUUGACAAUUGGUGGUUUGGCAGAGGGUUUUGGACUGUUGCCUAUGGACAGAGGGAUGGACUCUGUGGGCAGGAGGGUGUAUGGGUGGGUUUGUGGCAUUUUGAUUUGCUUGUUGAAUUAAUGUUAGUGUAAUUUUAUAAUAAAAAUCUUUAAUAACCAUCUGCCUCACUCUAUAUAUCUGUAUAGAUAGAAAUAUCUAUAAUAUUAUUAUAAUAUAUAUUUUUGUACCUCCCCCCUCUCCUGCUUCUGUCCUGUAUCCCCCUCAUUGCUUAUUUUUGGAUGACUCUUAUCUUUUAACCCUUCUGUGAUUCUGGAAACAAAGCAGCUUUCCCAUAAAAUAGAAAUAGAAUGUAUAAACAUAGAUUCUAUACUAGUGACAUUUUGUUGUGCACAGCCUCUUCCUGCUGUUGUUACUCUACUUUAUGUACAGUAGAACCCCCAUUUUACAUUUUUCAAAUGGUGUAAGUCAGGGAAAUGUAUUAUGCAUUAUAUAUUGGCAGAACCACAAAAAUGCUAUAACAAAUGGAAAAAACUUUAAAUUAGGGUAUGUAAAAUGGAGACGUCACUGUAUGUAUCCAGCUGUAACUAGAACUCUAGGGGGGAAUAACAUUCUACAAAC